ACGAAACGGUAGGACGAAUGUGACCAUCAAUUCGUUGCACCAUUUCGUCGCGUCUUCUAGACACCGCUACGCGUGCUGCCCCCAAUGGCACCAUUUUUAAUCUUUGGCACUGUCAAUAGCAGACUCUUUUUCAACGAUUUGAAAAAAUUUUCCCGGCGAUUCAAAAUUGGGAAAGCAAGUUAAAACAUUAAGUUUAACACGUUCAAAACAAAAUCAACUUCAAAGGCAUUGUUUAAGUGGGUUGAGACAUUAACACAUUAUUACCAAUUAACUGAAGCUUUGGAACUAGCUCAAUCAUCGUAAAAGUUUAAUUAAAUCAUUUAGGAAUGAUCGAAGAGAAUGAUGUGAGGAUGGAAGAUGAAUUUUAUGAUGAUGACAUGGAGCAUGAUGUGAUUGAAACUGGAGAGAUCCUUUCACAACAAAAGUACAAAUCAAAUAGCAUUGUGGUUGGGCAAAAGUUCCCUAAUUACAUAAAAGAACAAAUGGCUGAAAGGACUAAACGGAAUAAAGAGAAAAAGAGAGAACUGAGAAAUGGUCCUAGCACAAAAAGAUCCAGAAUGAGAAAUUUACAGAAUCAGGUUAGUACUAAUUAUGAACAAAGUUACUCAUGAAUUUGUUAUUUAAUUAUUUAGCUAUCCUCUAACACUCAGUAUCAAUGACGAUUCAUUAUUUCAUUCUAAAUUAGAUGGCGACUAUGGCCCGAGAAAACGAGUGCCAAUUUCUCUGCCUUUUAAUGAGUAAAAAUGACGUAAAAUAUUCGUCAAACAUCAUUGUGGAGGGAUCGUUUGCCAAAUAAUUUGAGGAGCGGAUAGAAUUUCGUGAUAAUUUUUAAUUUUUUUCCCUUUGAUCUUUGAUCUCAAGGGAUUCCUUUACCAUAAUGCUGAAAAGGAAAGGAAGAUGGUACAUAUGCUGACCAAACGAUUAUAUACGGCUAGGAAACAGAUCCCAAAACUACAUGGAAAGCAUGAAACUAUGUUAAACGAUCGGAAAUUGGCCAUAGUCGAUCUACCUAGCAUACGAGAAAAACUCGAAACUCAAGCGAGACUUG